rnacentral:rRNA from 1 species
ACUAACAAGGAUUCCCAUAGUAACUGCGAGUGAAGCGGGAAAAGCUCAAAUUUAAAAUCUGGCGGUCUUUGGCCGUCCGAGUUGUAAUCUAGAGAAGUAAUGCCCGUGCUGGACCGUGUAUAAGUCUCCUGGGAUGGGGCGUCAUAGAGGGUGAGAAUCCCGUCUUUGACACGGACUACCAGUGCAUUGUGGUAUGCUCUCAAAGAGUCGAGUUGUUUGGGAAUGCAGCUCAAAAUGGGUGGUAAAUUCCAUCUAAAGCUAAAUAUUGGCGAGAGACCGAUAGCGAACAAGUACCGUGAGGGAAAGAUGAAAAGAACUUUGGAAAGAGAGUUAAACAGUACGUGAAAUUGCUGAAAGGGAAACGCUUGAAGUCAGUCGCGUUGGCCGGGAAUCAGCCUUGCUUUUGCAUGGUGUACUUUCUGGUUGACGGGUCAGCAUCAAUUUUGACUGCUGGAAAAGGGCCUGGGGAAUGUGGCAGCUUCGGCUGUGUUAUAGCCCCUGGUCACAUACAGUGGUUGGGAUUGAGGAACUCAGCACGCCGCAAGGCCGGGUUUCGACCACGUUCGUGCUUAGGAUGCUGGCAUAAUGGCUUUAAGCGACCCGUCUUGAAACACGGACCAAGGAGUCUAACAUGCCUGCGAGUAUUUGGGUGGAAAACCCGAAUGCGCAAUGAAAGUGAAAGUUGAGAUCCCUGUCGUGGGGAGCAUCGACGCCCGGACCAGAACUUUUGGGACGGAUCCGCGGUGGAGCAUGUAUGUUGGGACCCGAAAGAUGGUGAACUAUGCCUGAAUAGGGUGAAGCCAGAGGAAACUCUGGUGGAGGCUCGUAGCGAUUCUGACGUGCAAAUCGAUCGUCAAAUUUGGGUAUAGGGGCGAAAGACUAAUCG